rnacentral:rRNA from 1 species
GGGCCCGCACAAGCAGCGGAGCAUGUGGUUUAAUUCGACGCAACGCGAAGAACCUUACCUGGGUUUGACAUGGUAGGAAAAGCCAUAGAGAUAUGGUGUCCUUUUGGGCCUAUCACAGGUGGUGCA